UAUUAGCACAUAUGUCAAAUUCCUAAUUAACGUUUAAUUUUUAUACCCAUCGUUUCUUAGAGCCGUAAUUGUGCUGAUAUCAAAACCAGGGAAGAACCUACCAUAUAGAAGUGCUAAAUGCACUUAACGAUCGCGGCGCCUCCUCGGCCACGGGCGUGUUUGGACACUAUUCCCACAUAU
rnacentral:ncRNA from 23 species